AAACAAAAAGUGCAUGCAGCACCCCCUG
rnacentral:tRNA from 1 species